rnacentral:rRNA from 1 species
GACGAACGCUGGCGGCGUGCUUAACACAUGCAAGUCGAACGGAAAGGCCCUGCUUUUGUGGGGUACACGAGUGGCGAACGGGUGAGUAACACGUGAGUAACCUGCCCACAACUUUGGGAUAACGCUAGGAAACUGGUGCUAAUACUGGAUAUGUGCUCCUGCUGCAUGGUGGGGGUUGGAAAGCUCCGGCGGUUGUGGAUGGACUCGCGGCCUAUCAGCUUGUUGGUGGGGUAGUGGCCUACCAAGGCGGCGACGGGUAGCCGGCCUGAGAGGGUGACAGGCCACACUGGGACUGAGAUACGGCCCAGACUCCGACGGGAGGCAGCAGUGGGGAAGAUUGCACAAUGGGCGCAAGCCUGAUGCAGCAGCGCCGCGUGCGGGAUGACGGCCUUCGGGUUGUAAACCGCUUUCAGCAGGGACGAAGCUUUUUGUGACGGUACCUGCAGAAGAAGCACCGGCUAACUACGUG